rnacentral:rRNA from 1 species
GCUUUUUUAUCAAAGUCGGCUUACCCUAGUAUUUUUCAGGACUAUGACGUUUUUCACAAACCUCUGAAUCUGUUUAGAAUGUUGAACCAAUAAAGUUUUAAAUAUACAACUUUCAGCAACGGAUCUCUUGGCUCUCGCAUCGAUGAAGAACGCAGCGAAAUGCGAUAAGUAAUGUGAAUUGCAGAAUUCAGUGAAUCAUCGAAUCUUUGAACGCAUCUUGCGCUCCUUGGUAUUCCGAGGAGCAUGCCUGUUUGAGUGUCAUUUCAACUUGUAUCAACUACAUCAUCAUUCUUGAUGUGGCUUGGAUGUGGAGGAUUUUUUUUUGCCGGCUUUUGAAUUGAAGUUUGCUCCUCUGAAAUGUAUUAGUGGUAUCUGAGCUGCUAUAGGUGUGAUAAAUAUCUAUGCCUUGGGUUAUGCUGAUCGUGUGCUGCUUCUAACGAAAAUGAAUCAAAGUUUUCUUUGACGAACUUGACCUCAAAUCAGGUAGGACUACCCGCUGAACUUAAGCAUAUCA